rnacentral:rRNA from 1 species
AUACGGAGGGUGCAAGCGUUAAUCGGAAUUACUGGGCGUAAAGCGUACGUAGGCGGUUAGUUAAGUUAGAUGUGAAAGCCCCGGGCUUAACCUGGGAACUGCAUUUAAAACUGGCUAACUAGAGUUAAGUAGAGGGGAGUGGAAUUUCAGGUGUAGCGGUGAAAUGCGUAGAGAUCUGAAGGAACACCAGUGGCGAAGGCGACUCCCUGAACUUGAACUGACGCUGAGGUACGAAAGCGUGGGUAGCAAACGGGAUUAGAAACCCUAGUAGUCC